AUGCAAAUCGCCUGAUGGCUACUUGUAGGUAUGCGAAUAUAUAUAGGCUAGUGAAUAUGCCUCCCCGGCAUAACAGGAA
rnacentral:sRNA from 3 species